rnacentral:sRNA from 1 species
CCGCUACCCACCUCAUCUCAACCCCCAGGACCCGCUCAAAGAUCUUGUCUCACUGGCCUGCGACCCAGCCAGCCAGCAACCUGGACCGUUAAAUGGAAGUGGUCAGCUCAAAAUGCCCAGCCACUGCCUUUCUGCUCAGAUGCUGGCACCUCCGCCCCCGGGGCUGCCACGGCUGGCGCUCCCCCCUGCCACCAAACCCGCCACCACCUCCGAGGGAGGAGCCACGUCGCCGACCUCGCCUUCCUACUCUCCGCCCGACACGUCCCCUGCAAACCGUUCCUUUGUGGGAUUAGGACCAAGGGAUCCUGCGGGCAUUUAUCAGGCACAGGCUCCACAAAACCAGCCGGAGGAGGAAGCAGGGAUUGAGGCUGCUUCUCCUCAGUUCAGAGGAGACCCGUGUGCUAUAGGUGGAGGGAAUCCUGGGUCAGGAGCUAG